CAUCCUCUGCGGUGUUCGCUAGUUGGCCGGGUAUUACUCUUGAGCCUAACUAACGACCUGGGGAGCAGAAAGUGGGCGUUGUUGCGCAUGUCCGCCGCGAUGCGGAAAGCCUGAUACGCUGCGGAUGUUCCCACCUGAACUUCUGGUUCAAGGUCGAAGGCCGCGACGGCACACGCGGAGGAUGC
rnacentral:other from 1 species